GCUUCUGGAGACCACAACACAAGGAAAAUCAUUUUUACGAUAAAGAUCUGUCAUUUAGUCAUUUGGACUUGUUGAGGGACGUUGAAUUUUGUUGUAAGAUAUUUGAAAUGUCACUUCAACUUUGUUUUAUUUGGAUGUGCAUCUAGAUUUAUGCACCAUCUUGACUUUACAUGAGCGUAGGGGCAGGCCCCAUGAACAAGUAAGCAAAAUUUUCAUGCCUUCGUACCUUGUCCACUCGGGUCUCGAGAAGGGUGCCCUGGGUCUCGAGAAGGGUGCCCUGGGUCUCGAGAAGGGUGUCCUAGGUCUCAAGAAAAGCGCCCCGGGUUGGCAAGGUGUGAAAGGGUUGACCUGGUUGGCUAUCAACUCAGGGUAAGCCAGAUCAACCCGUCUCUCAGUGUUCACACGAUAGCCGGGUCAACCCUUCAAUAGGCUUCUGUAAAGGCCACCUAAUUAAGGGCUAUUCAUACAACCCAGGGUUAGCCGGCCGAGAUAAAUCGUGUCAAAUUUUUUUCCUGAAUUAUAUUCUGCUACUAGAAUCACACUAAGCUAAUUCAUUUUGGAUAUUUAUCAAGGCCUUAUUAAACAAAUCAUCCCGGUUAACUAUGGGCGAACCAGGCUCCACAUUAACAGCCCCUUAAACUCAUCAGAACCUAGGAUAACGUUCCUUCCUUGGCAAUGAACAUGCUCAAAAACUCGCUUCAAUUAAUAUAUUGGGACAUGCUCUUGUACUUUGCAUGUAUGAUGCAUCUAAAAUGCCCCACAAUUCUAAAAGUUCAUGUGAUAAUGAACAAACCAAUCUAGCAAUGUGGCUUCUGAUUGCCAUUAGUAGGUAUAUGUGAAUUUGAGUGAGGCUUGGAAGGACCUACAGUGAACUGGCCACUGAUAUAAUUAUAGUAGGCUAAUAUUUUUAAAAAAGCUUCGGAUUGAUGGGGUUACAACUAC